CAAUCUGCAAACGACUGGCUCAGAGUUCACCUCGCCUUCCUUACCAAGAACUCGGCCGGUUACAUGGACAUGGACUCCCUCGCCGCUCAGUUUUUACAGCGGCAGCUCGCAGCAGCUGCCCGCCUCUCGCCUCGCUUGCCGCCUUCUCUCCUCCCCUUCGUAGCUCGUAGCUGCUCUCGACUUUGAGCAAAGCUCUGGUUGUCUUGUCUAUCCAUGGCCGUUCUUUCUCUCAGCAGGCUGGGUUUCGUGGCCCCACCUUAUCCUAGGACCAGCAGCGGCAGGCUCGCCUCAUCCUGCCGUGCCAUCGCCAGCGGCGGCGGCGGACCCCCACGCCGCAUCACCGUCGCCGGCGACCCGCCCACGGUCGUGUCGGCGCCCGGCCGCCGCAUUGUCGCCAGUACUUGGCGACGUCCACGGCGAUCUCUCCCAGACGCGAGCCGCGCUGGUGUUGGCCGGUGUCCUCAGCGCGGAAUCAGAUGGCCAUGUGUGGACAGGCGGGCGCACGGUACUUGUUCAAGUUGGGGACAUCCUUGAUCGUGGUGCAGAUGAAAUUGCUAUACUCUCCCUACUGAGCUCACUGAACGUGCAAGCCAAACCUCAAGGUGGCGCUGUGUUUCAGGUUAAUGGGAACCAUGAAACCAUGAACGUGGAAGGUGAUUUCCGAUACGUCGAUCCGGGAGGCUUUGAUGAGUGCAUGCGCUUCCUUGAGUACUUGGAUGAGUGUGAUGGGAACUGGGAUGACGCCUUUCUCAACUGGGUUAACGUCGCUGAAAGGAGGAAGAAAGAAUACAGAGCUUCACCUAAUAAUGGUGACUGGCGUUCUUGGAACUUUGUCAAGAGCUGUUUCAAAAAAUAUGCACUGGUGGGGCUAUAUAUUUUGCUUCUGCUUCUGAAAUGUUGAGCUUUAAAUGUUGAGACAGAAGCAGAAAGGGUUUGCUGCAAGAUCAUCGCUUUUCAAGCGAGGUGGCCCGCUAGCUUGUGAAUUGGCACGGCAUCCUGUUGUCCUUAAGAUCAAUGACUGGAUAUUUUGUCAUGGUGGCCUUCUUCCUCAUCACGUUGAAUACGGGAUUGGGCGUAUGAACAGAGAAGUGUCAAGGUGGAUGAAAAGUUCAGGUGAAAACAGUAAUGAUGAGACUGACAUCCCCUUCAUAGCUACUAGAGGUUAUGACAGUGUGGUAUGGAGCAGAUUGUAUUCGCAAGACUCUGCUGAAAGGACACGCCGUGCUUUGCUGCUAUCUUCCAUCGUUGCUGAGGAAACGCUGGAAUCUGUCAGAGCAAAGGGGAUGGUGGUUGGGCAUACUCCUCAGAUCCAUGGGGUGAAUUGCAAAUGCGACGGCAAAGUUUGGUGCAUUGAUGUGGGCAUGUCAUAUGGUGUUCUCUACUCAAGACCAGAGGUCCUAGAAAUAGUCAAUGAUAGUCCAAGGGUUUUGAAGAAGCGGAGGGACUCAUAUGACGAGAUGGAAGUGCUGGACUAUUUAUAAACCUUGAGAAUCAUGUGUAUAUAACAGCAAACAUUCUUUUUCCGAAGAGCUACUGUACCAGACAAUUUGGGUGGAAGUACAGGAAUAGAAGUUACAGAGAUAUAUGUAAAUUCAACUGAAGGUUUUCUCGACGUGAUUAGUAUGUUUCCUUCAGUCAGAACUGUAUUUCAUGUUUGAACAAAAUUGCACUGCACUAUGAAUUUUAUAGAUCUGGAUCUCCUAAAUUACAGCUUGGAAUCGAAGUAUCCUAUCAUAAGUAAAAUUUUGUUAGCUUACAAUUAGCCACCCUAGUUCUAUUGCCUGCAGUGCAACAGGUCUGGAAGGUGACAACUUCCUCAAGAAUCCGUACAUUUUCCAUCAGAAGACAAUAUUCUGGCACAAGAUGAAUUAUAUAACAAGGAACUAGGAUUUUCUUAAGACAUUUUUAAGUGUUGAUUCUCCCAAAAUCUGAAUAUAUCCAUAAACGAGAUCAGCUGUAGGCUUGUAGUCACCACUGUGAACCAAAUUUUCUUUUUAAAUGUCAUCCAUAUCAAUUCUUGAAGAAAACUGCAGUCGAAUGCUGGCCCACGUGAAGGGGAAGGUUUGCGGCACAUUUCGCCAAGCCGGAGCCAAAUUCUUUUGAUAGUGCUCUCACUUUCAUCAGCAUCCAAGGAUCUCUCCAUGGUAGCCUUCUUCAGAGCUGUAGGCCAUCAGGUAUCAAUGUAUCAUGCGACUAUGCAUUAUGCAAGUAUUAGAGCGAGCUGGAGGAGAUGUGAUUAUGCCGAGGCUUCUCAUGUAAAUGCUCUGUCCUCUGAAAGAAAACAUAGUCCUCUUUUAAUCUUUUUCAUGUGUUGUCACUCAAUAGCUAGAAUCCGGAAGCAUUGUAAACAUUAUUACACCAAAAUACAGAAGAAAAGCCUACAUAACCAGCUGACUCUGUUUGGAUUAUUGUCAGUAAA